GUUGAGCUAACCGGUACUAAUGAACCGUGAGGCUUAACCUUACAACGCCCAAG
rnacentral:rRNA from 1 species